ACACAUGCAAGUCGAGCGAGGUCCAUCCAGUGGUAACACUGGUGAAGACCUAGCGGCGAACGGGUGAGUAACACGUGAGAAACCUGCCCCGAAGACUGGGAUAACUCUCCGAAAGGAGAGCUAAUACCAGAUGCCCUCACCGGGCCGCAUGACUUGGUGAGGAAAUGGAUUCCGCUUCGGGAGGGUCUCGCGGCCUAUCAGCUUGUUGGUGAGGUAACGGCUCACCAAGGCUUCGACGGGUAGCUGGUCUGAGAGGAUGAUCAGCCACACUGGGACUGAGACACGGCCCAGACUCCUACGGGAGGCAGCAGUGGGGAAUCUUGCGCAAUGGGCGAAAGCCUGACGCAGCAACGCCGCGUGGGGGAUGAAGGCUCUCGGGUUGUAAACCCCUUUCAGCAGGGAAGAUUAUGACGGUACCUGCAGAAGAAGCCCCGGCCAACUACGUGCCAGCAGCCGCGGUAAUACGUAGGGGGCAAGCGUUGUCCGGAUUUAUUGGGCGUAAAGAGCUUGUAGGCGGCUUGGUAAGUCGAGUGUGAAAACUCCAGGCUCAACCUGGAGACGCCAUUCGAUACUGCCAUGGCUAGAGUCCGGUAGAGGAGCACGGAAUUCCUGGUGUAGCGGUGAAAUGCGCAGAUAUCAGGAGGAACACCAGCAGCGAAGGCGGUGCUCUGGGCCGGUACUGACGCUGAGAAGCGAAAGCGUGGGGAGCGAACAGGAUUAGAUACCCUGGUAGUCCACGCCGUAAACGUUGGGCACUAGGUGUGGGUCCCUAUCGACGGGAUCUGUGCCGUAGCUAACGCAUUAAGUGCCCCGCCUGG
rnacentral:rRNA from 1 species